AGGAUGAACGCUGGCGGUGUGCCUAACACAUGCAAGUCGAACGAGCCUUCGGGCUAGUGGCGGACGGGUGAGUAACACGUUAGUACCUGCCCUUUAGUGGGGAAUAACUCGGCGAAAGUCGAGCUAAUACCGCAUAUGGCCUCUUUAGAGGUUAAAGACUUCGGUCGCUAAAGGAGGGGCUUGCGUCUGAUUAGCUAGUUGGUAGGGUAAAAGCCUACCAAGGCGACGAUCAGUAGCUGGUUCGAGAGGAUGACCAGCCACACGGGGACUGAGAUACGGCCCCGACUCCUACGGGAGGCAGCAGUGAGGAAUCUUCCGCAAUGGGCGAAAGCCUGACGGAGCAACACCGCGUGCAGGAUGACGGCUUUCGGGUUGUAAACUGCUUUUAUUUGGGAAGAUUAUGACGGUACCAAAUGAAUAAGGACCGGCUAACUACGCGCCAGCAGCCGC
rnacentral:rRNA from 1 species